rnacentral:rRNA from 1 species
GAUGUCAUGUCGAAUCAAAUCCACAUGUAUAUUGUAUGUGCAAAAUUAUAGUACUCCCGGAGACCCGUAGUCAACAAGUAUAAAUAUGAAAAAUUAUAAUACCCUGUAAAUCAGUAGGGAAGAGCUACUAGCCUCUGCCCUCUGUCACUACAUCACCGAGACAAAGUAGCUGUCUCUGCCCUCUGAGUAUAUAUCACCGAGAGAAACCAGCAAGCUCUAACUUCUGCCCUCUGUCAACACAACCCAAUAGGCAAUUCCACCUUAGCUCUAAAUAUCACGUUAUAAAGAUGAAUAACUCGAUCGGUAGAGCUAAUCUUCCCAGAUUCUUUGUAUCCACGUUCGUAUUAUGUACAAAAUGCACUAAUAAACAAUUAAUAAACAACCAGGGCACAAUCGUCUCUCACAUCUUGUACAAGAGCUGCUCAGCCGCAAGAAUGGAGUAAGACCAAGGAAGAAGAAUUAGAAAUACAGAAACAGUAAAAAGCAAGCCUUGUUGUCAAGGCAAACAACCCUUAACAAAAUUGUCUUUAAUUUUAAAAUAUUUUGCCAAUCUGUCGAGAGCUAGAUAACAUGCAUCCAGCAACAACUUUAACAUUGUUUACACAGGAAACAAACCACCAAGAAUGAGAGAAGAAGAACUAGGUUCAUUUCUCUAGCACUACAUCACAGAGACAGACUCAACUGGAGGAUCAACAUCUCAAGUCUAAGAAAAGAACAAGAGCUUCACAACUCUGCGUCAAGUACUCACUAUCACUAUGAGUUGUAGAUAACUUAUGCAUGUAGGCACCAACUAAAUGUACCAAUUCCUUGUAUGAUCUACUUUGUCACGAAUCAAGUCUUCAAAUGACUUACCAAAUAUUACAAAAAAACUAAAUUGCUUAUCGAUCCACGUGGCGCGGCGUGCCGCCGCGCACUACCCGCUAGU